GACGUAGGAGGCGAGCGUUGUCCGGAUUUAUUGGGCGUAAAGCGCGCGCAGGCGGUCCUUUAAGUCUGAUGUGAAAGCCCACGGCUCAACCGUGGAGGGUCAUUGGAAACUGGAGGACUUGAGUGCAGAAGAGGAAAGUGGAAUUCCAAGUGUAGCGGUGAAAUGCGUAGAGAUUUGGAGGAACACCAGUGGCGAAGGCGACUUUCUGGUCUGUAACUGACGCUGAGGCGCGAAAGCGUGGGGAGCAAACAGG
rnacentral:rRNA from 1 species